AUGUAAUGUAAUUCCUACAACGUUAAUGCACCGGAUCCCAUUAGAACUUCGUAUUUAAGUGCGCUUGGGCUAGAGUAGUACUGGGAUGGGUGACCUCCCAGAAAUUCCUAGAGUUUUACAUG
rfam:Picea glauca, whole genome shotgun sequence.